AGGUAACAAAACCCUGCCCAUGAAAAUUACCCAUCUCCUGCCCCCUGUGCCUUAUAUAAAGGGGCUGGAGGUGUGGCCGCACUGUGGUCUGGGGGCGUGGCUUCGGGUGGGCAUGGCAGCAUCACCCCCAGGACAUCCCAUCCACGUUCCUAUGCCCCAUCCAAGGAGCGCUCCCCCAUGUCCUACCACCAGCAGCCUGGUAACAGCCCGGCAGUGAGAGCCCAGCACCCCUGGGUGCCUGCAUCCCACCCGCACCACUGGUGGUGCCUCCAGUGUGUUGGCACCCUGCAGUGUGACAGCCCCAGCAGGGUGCCGUGCCCUGGCCGUGCCCCAGCACACCCGCAGGACACUGUGUUCUGGCCCACCGCCUUUGAGGGGCCUCAUCCCUGACCCCAGGAACAAGGAAGCAGCUCUGAUUGCAGGCAGCACUGGGCUGUGACACGCACUGGGCUGUGACACGUGCUGGGGAAGUGAUGCUGCAAGGACAGCCCAGGAGAUGAGUCCUCAGCCCAGAGCACGCCCUUCCUGGCUCUGCCUCCUUGCUCACAGGGUGGGCUGCAGUCUCUGAGGGCCUCAGUGCUGGCAGCUGCAUAAUAUCACCCCUUCCUCAGAGUGCAAGGGGGUCCCAGGCUGCCCACAGGGCUUUUUCCAUUGGCAUUGACCUUGCUCUGCACAAGUCUCUGGCUGUGGGGACUCUGCUUGUGGCUGCUCUGGGACCACCGUGCAGCUGAUGGCCGCCGGGCACUGUGCCCAUCCCUGGGAGCACCCGUGCUGGGUGAGAGCCCUUCUGGCAGUGCCAGCACCUGGGAAAUAAAGGGACACACCUGGAUGCUCAUCCUCUGCAAGGAGAAGGCGACGCGGAAACCACAGUGCCGGGGCUGUGGGGAGAGCUCAGAGCGGUGCCCACCAGGAGGCAUUGGCUCCUGCCAGCCCGGACAUGGCUACACGUAGGGGAGGGCUGUCCCUGUUCCUGCUGCUGGGCCUUGCUGGGUCAAAGCUGGCACUGGGGAGCAUAGACGCGGAUUCGACAGUGCCAAAAUCCACAAAGCCUCCGGUGUCGCUGCUCAGCACCGCAGCCCCCACUCCUCCCUCCAGCCCGGACACAGAAGCCCCCACCCCAGUGAAGCCCAGCACAGCCCCAGGGACCAGCAAUGCUCCCGCAACUUCAGCACACACAGCUGCACCACCUGAGCCCUCUACAGUCGUGGUAGACACCGCCACCUCCAUCACCAACACAGUGGUCCUCAGGAGCACCCCCAGUCCCAGCCCACCCCCGGGGAACACCACUGGAACCAGCACUGGUGUCUCCACUGUGAUCACAGGAACACCUGCAGACACCUCGAUGGCACCGCAGAGCUCCAGUGCCACCCCAGGCACGAAGCCCUCCUCCCCUGCCACCACCUCAUCACAGAGCCUGGAUGGAACCAUCAGCACCUCUUCAGAGCUGCCACCAACCUGCCCCAGCACCCCAAAUGAUGCCAUUGCAUCCCAGCUCUUCCUCUCCUUGCGUCUCACCACUCCUCUGGACAUGGGAAACACCACGGUGCAGGAGCUGCUCCUGGCCAAGCUCCGCAGGGACCUGCAGGCUGCCUUCCCACAUGCUGGGCUCCUCCUGUACUGGAGAGGGGGGAAGCUGAUCUGAGCCAGUCACCGAGGGAUGCUGGGCAGUACUGAGCCAUCCCGCACCUCCUGUCCUUGUCCCUCUGGAUAACCCACACAGCCCCAUCUGCUUCCCUGCACCCCAGUACCCUUCUGUGUCCCGUUCUCUACCCCUUCCCACAGCCACUCUGCAGCCCCAUUGCACUGAUGGUAAAGAAGGAGCCCUGCAGCCCCCCCACCCUGCCCCGUUAUCACCAUGCAGCAGUGGCCCUGUUGGAAGCCAGGGUACUGCAAGGGGUCCCAUCAGCCCCCAACCCCCCAUGAGCUGUGUGUGCCGUGGGGCCAUGGAAAUCCCGUGGGCUGAGCUCCUUCCCUGUUUUUUUCCAGUCCCUGGUUGAGGAGACGGCUGCAGUGUCUGCCUCCCCUGCAGCAAAGUCAUUUAUUAACUGAUUAAUUAGCCAGAUAAAAUGAGAGCGAAGCAAUUAUUACCCUAAGCAAGUCACCUAGCAUGGGAGAUUAAAAAGUGGAAUAAUGUGCAAAAAUGUCAGUGUUGUAUAUGGGGGAGUGAUCCCUUCCUGCAACCCCGUCCUGCUGGAGCCAUGUCCCACCUGGGGAAGGGACAUCUGGGGCUGUGGAAUCCAACCUGGGGACCAUUCCCAGGCACUGGGUUUGUCACCCUGCAGCCAGGAAGGAUGAGCAAAGACACCUUGUUGUCACACGCACCCAUUUUCCUACCGGGAAAGGCAGUGCACAUCUCCUACACAUCCCAGGAUUGCUUCCAUGUACUGUAGGAUGCUGCCUGUCUGUCUUGAUGGGGGGUUUGUGGGUCCUACUGGGAGAUAUAGGGGUCUGUGAGGUCCUAAGGGGGUCCUGGAGGUGGAUAUGGAGGUCAUAUGGAGGAUUUAUGAUGGUGUCUGGGGAUUCUGGGGAGGGAUAUGAGGGCUCUGUGAGGUCCUAGCAUGGCUAUGGGGUAGAUCUGUGGGGUUCUAAGGGGGUCAUCUGCAGACUAUGGGGCUCUGUGCAGGGCUUGAGCAGUUGACACA
rnacentral:lncRNA from 1 species